AACACGUGUGCAACCUGCCUUUAUCUGGGGGAUAGCCUUUCGAAAGGAAGAUUAAUACCCCAUAACAUAUGAUACGGCAUCGUAUUAUAUUGAAAACUCCGGUGGAUAGAGAUGGGCACGCGCAAGAUUAGAUAGUUGGUGAGGUAACGGCUCACCAAGUCAGUGAUCUUUAGGGGGCCUGAGAGGGUGAUCCCCCACACUGGUACUGAGACACGGACCAGACUCCUACGGGAGGCAGCAGUGAGGAAUAUUGGACAAUGGGUGAGAGCCUGAUCCAGCCAUCCCGCGUGAAGGACUAAGGCCCUAUGGGUUGUAAACUUCUUUUAUACUGGGAUAAACCUACUUACGUGUAAGUAGCUGAAGGUACAGUAUGAAUAAGCACCGGCUAACUCCGUGCCAGCAGCCGCGGUAAUACGGAGGGUGCAAGCGUUAUCCGGAUUUAUUGGGUUUAAAGGGUCCGUAGGCGGAUCCGUAAGUCAGUGGUGAAAUCUCAUAGCUUAACUAUGAAACUGCCAUUGAUACUGCGGGUCUUGAGUGAGAUUGAGGUAGCUGGAAUAAGUAGUGUAGCGGUGAAAUGCAUAGAUAUUACUUAGAACACCAAUUGCGAAGGCAGGUUACCAARUCUUAACUGACGCUGAGGGACGAAAGCGUG
rnacentral:rRNA from 1 species